GACAGAGGUGCCGAGCGUUAGGCGGAAUCACUGGGCUUAAAGCGUGUGUAGGCGGACUUCUAAGUACCUUGUGAAAUCCCCCGGCUCAACCGGGGAACUGCUUGGUAUACUGGUUGUCUUGAGCCACUUAGGGGCAGUCGGAACAGACGGUGGAGCGGUGAAAUGCGUAGAUAUCGUCUGGAACGCCAAUGGUGAAAACAGGUUGCUGGGAGUGUGCUGACGCUGAGACACGAAAGCCAGGGGAGCGAACGGG
rnacentral:rRNA from 1 species